GACGAACGCUGGCGGCGGGCUUAACACAUGCAAGUCGAACGGAAAGGCCCUGCGUUUGUGGGGUGCUCGAGUGGCGAACGGGUGAGGAACACGUGAGUAACCUGCCCUUGACUUUGGGAUAACUUCAGGAAACUGGGGCUAAUACCGGAUAGGAGCUCCUGCUGCAUGGUGGGGGGUGGAAAGUUUCGGCGGUUGGGGAUGGACUCGCGGCUUAUCAGCUUGUUGGUGGGGUAGUGGCUUACCAAGGCUUUGACGGGUAGCCGGCCUGAGAGGGUGACCGGCCACAUUGGGCCUGCGAUACGGCCCAGACUCCUACGGGAGGCAGCAGUGGGGAAUAUUGCACAAUGGGCGGAAGCCUGAUGCAGCAACGCCGCGUGCGGGAUGACGGCCUUCGGGUUGUAAACCGCUUUAGCCUGUGACGAAGCGUGAGUGACGGUAAUGGGUAAAGAAGCACCGGCUAACUACGUG
rnacentral:rRNA from 1 species